rnacentral:rRNA from 1 species
AUUGAACGCUGGCGGCAGGCCUAACACAUGCAAGUCGAGCGGAUGAAGGGAGCUUGCUCCUGGAUUCAGCGGCGGACGGGUGAGUAAUGCCUAUGAAUCUGCCUGGUAGUGGGGGAUAACGUCCGGAAACGGGCGCUAAUCCCGCAUCCGUCCUUAGGGAGAAAGUGGGGGAUCUUCGGACCUCACGCUAUCAUAUGAGCCUAGGUGGGAUUAGCUAGUUGGUGGGGUAAAGGCCUACCAAGGCGACGAUCCGUAACUGGUCUGAAAGGAUGAUCAGUCACACUGGAACUGAGACACGGUCCAGACUCCUACGGGAGGCAGCAGUGGGGAAUAUUGGGCAAAGGGCGAAAGCCUGAUACAGCCAUGCCGCGUGUGGGAAGAAGGUCUUCGGAUUGGAAAGCACUUUAAGUUGGGAGGAAGGGCAGUAAGUUAAUACCUUGCUGUUUUGACGGUACCAACAGAAUAAGCACCGGCUAACUUCGUG